GGGGAAUUAGUUUAAUUGGGAAAAUAUCGCCCUUGCAAGGCGAAGUUAUGAGUUCGAUUCUCAUAUUCUCCACCA
rnacentral:tRNA from 1 species